GCUUUUGCUCAUGGUUUUGCCGAGCCUUUGGCCGAGGCUUUCGCCAACCCUAGUGCUCUAGCUGAAGCUUUGGCCGAGGCUUUUGCUAAACCUUUUGCCGAUGCUUUUGCCAACCCUGCGCUUUUGCCACCAGCAGUGAAAAGUUUGCUAAAUAAGUUUAUUAAGAUUUAAGGAAAAACUCAAGAUGGAAUACGAAAAACUGGGUCUUAUCACCAGUAGAUUAUGUUAAGCACAAAGUGGAAAAAUAUUUGUUUAAUAAAAAAUCUAAAAAAGCAAUGAGAUUUUAUUAAUGUCAUUGUAAUACAUUAUUGGCGUUAUAUUUGUAAAAAUAAACGUAUUAAUUCCAAAUAAAUACAGCAGCAAAUUAAA